GGCCGCUUGGCUCAGUGGUUAGAGCGCUCGGUUCACAUCCGAGAGAUCGCUGGUUCGAAUCCAGUAGUGGCCA
rnacentral:tRNA from 1 species